AACAAUAGUAAAUAGUAUUUAUAUAGUGCAAACAACGCUCAAGACGCCUUACAGAUAUGAAUGGUCUCUAAAGAGUUUUAACUCUUUAUUUAAAAAUACAACGAAAUGAAAUACUCUGUAUGUCAUACAGUACAUGUACGUACCAACAAACCAAUUGACUCCCUCGUGAGUUGAGUACUAUUUUAUUUUUAUUUUUAAUUUGUACAUGAGCUAUGAUUGAUAUCAGGAUGAGAAUUUCAAUCAAAAAUGGCCGCCAUUUGAUGUGGAUGUUGAACAUUCCAAUGUUAAGUUUCAUUGCAAUACAUUACUUCCAAGCCAAUGAAAGUGCAUUGACAAAGUUUUUCUCAGUCUUAUAACUAUCUCAACAUUUCUGUAAGCUUUAAUAUUCCUAUGGAAUUUGCUUAUUUGAUUUGAAAAAGAGAAGGGGUGUGGUAUAGUGUAAGUUUAGUUUGUUGCCUCAACCUUAUUUGUAUAUCUAUGAAUAAUGCUUUUAGUAUGGAUUGAAACUUUUUGCGCCUACUUGGGCAAACAAUUUGAAAUGUAAUGGUUUGGUUUUAGCGCUAAUGUACUGAAAUGUUUUUUUUUCAUGCAAACCUUGCAAGAAUGUAAGGGGGAAAUUGUGUUCUCCUAAGUAUAAGAACAAAGUUUUAUCAGCCAUUUUGUUUUACUAUUUAUUGCCUUGAUGUACAAAUCAGUACAAAUGGUGAUUGUCAAUGAUUUGGUCUCUGUUGGAAGAUUUGUUUAUUUACCCCCAUAAACUCUCAACCGAAGCUUGUAGAGUCAAUUUCUGUGCCACAAGUAACACAUGGCCAUUUUUUUGUAACAAAAUGGUAAGUGCGUCGGUAUCAUGGUGUGGUUUGAGUUAGGUUUUAACUAUUACUUAUUUGCCGUUGGCAUCUACUCAUAACAAAAUAAACAAAAAGAGUUCAGUGGUUACACACCUAUGUUCUGACACCCAUAUGUUUGGACGCCCCUAGUGUGUUUUCCUAAUCCUAACCCCAACCCUAUGACCCCAACCCUAACCCUAGCAUGUAAAUCACGAGGGGUUGUGGGAACAUACAUAAGGUUGUCGGAAUAUCGGUAUGUUGGAAUCUAGAGCAGUCGCCGAGUUCAUGUCACCAUGGUUAUGGUAAAGACAAGGGACUGGAGUUUACAAAUAGAGACUUCGUUACACUGAGGUCACUACUGUCUUCCCAUGGCCUGCCAUUUUGGGAGUCAAAGUACAUUUGAGAUGCUGCGUGCGUAGCCUAAACACACACUGCACAGUAAUACACAUGGAGCCUAAAUAUGCACUGCACAGUAUAAACAUACAGUGAUCUUAUUUCCAACAUGGCUCGUCUGCUCUGGGUAGAAAGGACUUAAGAAAGAAAAAGUCAGUAGAAAGACCCAGUCUGCUCAUAGCAUUGAUUUAUGCCUUAAACCCAGUAACUGCUCCUGCACCUGCGAGCUGUCACAUCACAGUAUAAUAAUGACUGCAUCCUUUGUGAUGUGACGGCCACUGCAGGUACAUCUGUAGUAUGGUAACUGGCAUUAGGGUUCAUCAUCUUAUGUAAGCCACUGUCCUGCUGUGAUCAUGACGACAAUCCCUCGUAACAAUUUGAUGAGCAAAUCAUUAAAAGAAAAACGUUUGAAAGCAUUUCCUAUGUUGUUAAAUUAGGCAUACAUAACAUGGUAACAUUGCAUCAAACUUAUUAACAGGAUUAUAUUUAACACUUAUAAUUUUGCUUUGUACCAUCCUAGAGAAAGGACCCUUUCUCUAUGGUACCAUGUGUUAAGCACUGUGUACUCAGAUCAGUGCUUAAAAAAAGAACCUCCUUCAGGAAAAACAUGCACAGGCAUACUACUCAAGCCAACAGUCAUGAAGUGUCACUAAAUUGGACAGCACCAUAUGAUUUAUUUACAACCAAAGCUGCCUAUUGGUUUGUCAUUGUGUAACAGCUCUUUUGUGACUGCCCUCUUGCGAAACUGCUUCUCUUUUGAUACUGCUGCUUCAGCAAGAUACUGCUGCUUCAGCAAGAGUUCUGCUUUCAUGACUACUGCCAGAUCCAGCAUUUUCGUGAGUGCGGUUACAGUCAUAUGGAGCCAUUACGCUGCUACUGCAACAAACAUUAAUGACUUGUCCACAAAUCUGCACUUACCAUAAACAUUACCGGGUACACAUAAUUAGAUCAAAAGUACUUACAUAAAGAGCUAUUAUCUGUGAUUUUGUUGUGUUUUGUUAGUUUCUUCACAGACUGUGAUUACUUUCAACAGUAGCCAUAAUUAGGCAAUCACUUUUUAAUUCAUUCAAAUAUAUAUUAGAUAAUAUGUAUUCAAUUUUACUAUAAGGUGUUAUAUAAUAUUAUCUAACAUGUCUAACUACAAAAUAGUGUAAGAAUAGGAAAAUUGUGAUUUUUCCUUCUUUGAUGAUGCUUCAGUACUUUUAAGUUCGUACAACAUUAAAAAGGGUCUGAAUGUUUGGACUCAUGUCAGUCAUGAUAUCAAUGUAGCCAAUGAAUACAUUCAAUUCAUUUCAAAGAGAGAUGUUUGGCCUUUUAACUGACUUAACUUCAAUGUGAUUGGUUGAUGGUGAGCACAACACACACACACACAAGUGUGUAAACACCUGCAAUCAUGGACCCUCCUUUGUUCAACUUUUUAUGAUAGCAACCGGGGACCAUAAUGAUUUCCUUUGCGAUAGCAACCGUGGACCCAUUGUCUCUUUUGUUACAGGUCCCCGGUUUGAAUGUGGAUACCUACCCACGCACACACAGCUGUGUUUAUGGUGUAAACCGAGGACUUCUCUUGGUUCUCCCAUUGUUUGGACAUAGUUUAUCUUUCAGACGUCCCCAUUGGUUUUGUACACGUCUUCGGUGUGACUUUUUCCCGGAUCCCUUUUGUUAAAGUCCUCGGUUAUCAAUAGUAGACAUACCCACUCCAGAGGUACAGCACACCUACAAUAUCUGUUAGAGGACACCUAUUGUUCUUUCUGUUGUUUUUGUAUUGAAGCAAUCCCCAUUGGUUGUGUACACAAAUGACUAGUGAGGACCCAUGAAAACAUGUUCUUGGAGGGUAGGCGGCCAUAAGAACACACUAUUCUGUAAACUAACAUGGCAGGGUUUCAUAUAACAUGUGUGUUGUUAGCAAAGUGGAGUGGUCCCCUGUCUUUAUCCUAAAUCAGGAUUAAUUUGCAGACCAAGAUUUUAAUGGUCAAGAUUACACGCAUUUCUUUCGCAAUGUUUUUGUUACAACUAUAACAACUUACGGUAAAAAAUAACAUACAUGUAGGGCUAGAAAGCUCAGUUGGUAAAGCGCCUGCACAUAAAAAAAGGUGUCCAAACGGGGAGCAAGUAUUUGUCAAUAUUUAUUUACCAAACUUAAAACCCUCACAAGUUGCUACUUGUAAAUGGGUCUCAAAUUUAAAACAUAGCUCUGCAUAGCUAUUGGACAAAUUAGUGCUUUGAGACGCCAGUUGUGCUUAAUUUUGUUUUGCUUUUUUCAUAUCAUGGCAUCUUAAAGUUUGUCGUGGGAUAAUGGAGUAGCUUUUUAAAGCACAGUUGUGAUAGUAACCUUUUGAUGAGCUAUUUAUUCUAAAAGCUGUGUAAUAUGUGGUAGGUAAAAAUUGUUAUUUUUUUUUAAAUUGUGACUUUGCCAGACAGCCAGCCAGAACGAGAAAUGCUUUCUUGUAAUUAUUUUAAUUCUUGAGAAGGAUUUAACCAUGUAUUAUUGAUUAUAUUUUUAAUAUAAAUAUUAAUUUAAUUUGGGAAUUUGCCUUAAUAAGGACAUAACUACGCAGAGGUAGUACUAAGAAUUUGGUUAAAUUUUGUUGAUAUUUCCUAGUUAUUACAGUAUCAAACUCCUAUUUAAAUUCUGUAUCAUGUAUUUUUUUAUAUUUGCCAAACCUAUUCCUGUCAAGAAGUGUACGUUAUAAAUUUAAUGAUAAAAUUCAAAAAUUAUUUCAAUGAUAUUCUAAGCGCCACGUAGGUCGACAACAAAUAAAGUUGCAAAACAUUAUUUUAAAAUUUA